rnacentral:rRNA from 1 species
UACGGAGGGGGCUAGCAUUGUUCGGAAUUACUGGGCGUAAAGCGCACGUAGGCGGAUUGGAAAGUUGGGGGUGAAAUCCCAGGGCUCAACCCUGGAACUGCCUUCAAAACUCCCAGUCUGGAGGUCGAGAGAGGUGAGUGGAAUUCCGAGUGUAGAGGUGAAAUUCGUAGAUAUUCGGAGGAACACCAGUGGCGAAGGCGGCUCACUGGCUCGAUACUGACGCUGAGGUGCGAAAGCGUGGGGAGCAAACAGG